rnacentral:rRNA from 1 species
AGUGGCGGACGGGUGAGUAACGCGUGAGAAUCUGCCUUGGGGUCGGGGACAACCACUGGAAACGGUGGCUAAUACCGGAUAAGCCGAUUGGUGAAAGAUUUAUUGCCCGAAGAGGAGCUCGCGUCUGAUUAGCUAGUUGGUGAGGUAAGAGCUCACCAAGGCAGCGAUCAGUAGCUGGUCUGAGAGGACGAUCAGCCACACUGGGACUGAGACACGGCCCAGACUCCUACGGGAGGCAGCAGUGGGGAAUUUUCCGCAAUGGGCGAAAGCCUGACGGAGCAAGAUCGCGUGAGGGAGGAAGGCUCUUGGGUUGUAAACCUCUUUUCUCAGGGAGGAAGCUCUGACGGUACCUGAGGAAUCAGCCUCGGCUAACUCCGUGCCAGCAGCCGCGGUAAUACGGAGGAGGCAAGCGUUAUCCGGAAUUAUUGGGCGUAAAGCGUCCGCAGGUGGCGAUUCAAGUCUGCUGUCAAAGCACGGGGCUUAACUCCGUAAAGGCAGUGGAAACUGAAUAGCUAGAGUGCCGUAGGGGUAGAGGGAAUUCCCGGUGUAGCGGUGAAAUGCGUAGAGAUCGGGAAGAACAUCGGUGGCGAAAGCGCUCUACUGGACGGCAACUGACACUCAGGGACGAAAGCUAGGGGAGCGAAUGGGAUUAGAUACCCC